GAUGAACGCUAGCUACAGGCUUAACACAUGCAAGUCGAGGGACCGGCGCACGGGUGAGUAACACGUAUCCACCCUGCCCUUUACUCGGGGAUAGCCUUUCGAAAGAAAGAUUAAUACCCGAUAUAAAGGAUGGGGAUGCGUUGUAUUAGGUUGUUUGUGAGGUAACAGCUCACCAAACCUUCGCUGGAUAGGGGUUCAGAGAGGAAGGGCCCCCACAUUUGAACUGAGACACGGUCCAAACUACUACGGGAGGCAGCAGUGAGGGAUAAUGGUCAAUGGGAGCUAACCUGCACCAGCCAAUUAGCGUGAAGGAUGAAGGCUUAUGGGUCGUAAACUUCUUUUAUAUAAGAAUAUGUAUUAUAUGAAUAAGGAUCGGCUAACUCCGUGACAGCAGCCGCGGUAAUUC
rnacentral:rRNA from 1 species